AGUGAGAAUGCCGGAAUGAGUAGCGAGAAUUAUGUGAGAAUCAUAAUGGCCGAAAGCCUAAGGUUUUUGGAGGAAGGUUCGUCCGCUCCAAGUAAGUCGGAAGCUAAGGUGAGGCUGAAAAGCGUAGCCGAUGCACAAACGGUUGAAAUUCCGUUACCACAGAAAGAUUUAAACUAAGGGACACUUUUGAAGAGCUGAUGCCGGGUGUUGGUUACCCCGGUCGUAAGGGAACGAAAUUAAGUAGUGAAGUCAGCGUGGAUGAAGGCGAGAAAAGCUUAGUGUAUAUCUUAUGUGUCCGUACCGCAAACCGACACAGGUAGGUAGGAAGAGAAUUCUAAGGCCAACGGGAGAAGGGUAGUUAAGGAACUCGGCAAAAUGUCCCCGUAACUUCGGAAUAAGGGGAGGUUUCUACGGAAACCCGCAGAGAAUAGUCCCAGGCAACUGUUUAUCAAAAACACAGCUCUAUGCUAAAUCGAAAGAUGACGUAUAUGGGGUGACGCCUGCCCGGUGCCGGAAGGUUAAGAGGAGGAGUGAGAGCCCUGAAUCGAAGCCCCGGUAAACGGCGGCCGUAACUAUAACGGUCCUAAGGUAGCGAAAUUCCUUGUCAGGUAAGUUCUGACCCGCAUGAAAGGCGUAAUGAUUUGGGCACUGUCUCAACAGCCCGCCCGGCGAAAUUGUAGUACCGGUGAAGAUGCCGGUUACCCGCGACAAGACGGAAAGACCCCAUGGAGCUUUACUGUAGCCUAAUAUUGGGUUUCGAUGUUGCAUGCACAGGAUAGAUGGGACACAGGGAAACAAGUGCUUUGGCAUUUGUGGAGUGGCCGUUGGGAUACCAUCCUUGCGAUAUUGGAAUUCUAACCUGCGCCUUUGAAUCAAGGCGGGGGACAUUGUUAGGUGGGCAGUUUGACUGGGGCGGUCGCCUCCUAAAGAGUAACGGAGGCGUUCAAAGGUUCGCUCAGCUUGAACGGAAAUCAAGCAAAAGAGUGCAAACGCAGAAGCGAGCCUAACUGCGAGACUGACGGGUCGAGCAGUAACGAAAGUUGGAGUUAGUGAUCCGGUGGUAUGUGAGUGGAAAUGCCAUCGCUCAACGGAUAAAAGUUACCCUGGGGAUAACAGGCUGAUCUCCCCCAAGAGUCCACAUCGACGGGGAGGUUUGGCAC
rnacentral:rRNA from 1 species